AACGAACGCUGGCGGCAUGCCUAACACAUGCAAGUCGAACGAGACCUUCGGGUCUAGUGGCGCACGGGUGCGUAACGCGUGGGAACCUGCCCUUAGGUUCGGAAUAACUCCCCGAAAGGGGUGCUAAUACCGGAUAAUGUCUUCGGACCAAAGAUUUAUCGCCUUUGGAUGGGCCCGCGUUGGAUUAGCUAGUUGGUAGGGUAAAAGCCUACCAAGGCGACGAUCCAUAGCUGGUCUGAGAGGAUGAUCAGCCACACUGGGACUGAGACACGGCCCAGACUCCUACGGGAAGCAGCAGUGGGGAAUAUUGGACAAUGGGCGAAAGCCUGAUCCAGCAAUGCCGCGUGAGUGAUGAAGGCGUUAGGGUUGUAAAGCUCUUUUACCCGGGAUGAUAAUGACAGUACCGGGAGAAUAAGCUCCGGCUAACUCCGUG
rnacentral:rRNA from 1 species